rnacentral:misc_RNA from 1 species
UCCGAGUUGACCCCGGCAGUCUCCUGUGAGUCCCCAUCACCCCGAAGGGCAUGCUGGCAACACGGAACAAGGGUUGCGCUCGUUGCGGGACUUAACCCAACAUCUCACGACACGAGCUGACGACAGCCAUGCACCACCUGUACACCGACCACAAGGGGGGCACUGCCUCCAGUGCUUUCCGGUGUAUGUCAAGCCUUGGUAAGGUUCUUCGCGUUGCGUCGAAUUAAGCCACAUGCUCCGCUGCUUGUGCGGGCCCCCGUCAAUUCAUUUGAGUUUUAACCUUGCGGCCGUACUCCCCAGGCGGUCUACUUAUUGCGUUAGCUGCGACACCGAAGGGCAAGCCCCCCGACAUCUGGCACUCAUCGUUUACGGCGUGGACUAC